GACGUAGGGCGCGAGCGUUGUCCGGAUUUAUUGGGCGUAAAGAGCUCGUAGGCGGCUUGUCGCGUCGUCCGUGAAACUCAACAGCUCAACUGUCGGAGCUUGCGGUCGAUACGGGCAGGCUAGAGUUCGGUAGGGGAGACUGGAAUUCCUGGUGUAGCGGUGAAAUGCGCAGAUAUCAGGAGGAACACCAGCGGCGAAGGCGGCGCUCGUGGGCCGGUACUGACGCUGAGGAGCGAAAGCGUGGGUAGCAAACAGG
rnacentral:rRNA from 1 species